AACGAACGCUGGCGGCAGGCUUAACACAUGCAAGUCGAACGCCCCGCAAGGGGAGUGGCAGACGGGUGAGUAACGCGUGGGAAUCUACCCAUCCCUACGGAACAACUCCGGGAAACUGGAGCUAAUACCGUAUACGCCCUUAGGGGGAAAGAUUUAUCGGGGAUGGAUGAGCCCGCGUUGGAUUAGCUAGUUGGUGGGGUAAAGGCCUACCAAGGCGACGAUCCAUAGCUGGUCUGAGAGGAUGAUCAGCCACAUUGGGACUGAGACACGGCCCAAACUCCUACGGGAGGCAGCAGUGGGGAAUAUUGGACAAUGGGCGCAAGCCUGAUCCAGCCAUGCCGCGUGAGUGAUGAAGGCCUUAGGGUUGUAAAGCUCUUUCACCGAUGAAGAUAAUGACGGUAGUCGGAGAAGAAGCCCCGGCUAACUUCGUGCCAGCCGCCGCGGUAA
rnacentral:rRNA from 1 species